rnacentral:tRNA from 1 species
GUCCCUUUCGUCUAUGGGUAAGACACUGCGCCCUCAACGCUAGUGAAGCGGGUUCGAGCCCCGGAAGGGACG